rnacentral:rRNA from 1 species
GCCUAGCCCUAAACAUUGAUAGUAUAAUACACCUACUAUCCGCCUGGGGAUUACGAGCAUUAGCUUAAAACCCAAAGGACUUGGCGGUGCUUUAGACCCACCUAGAGGAGCCUGUCCUAGAACCGAUAACCCCCGUUCAACCUCACCCUUCUUUGUUUUCCCCGCCUAUAUACCGCCGUCGUCAGCUUACCCUGUGAAGGACUAAUAGUAAGCAGAAUUGGCACAGCCCAAAACGUCAGGUCGAGGUGUAGCGUAUGGAAGGGGAAGAGAUGGGCUACAUUCCCUAACACAGGGAAUACGAAUGAUGUCCUGAAACGUACAUCCUGAAGGAGGAUUUAGCAGUAAGCAGAAAACAGAGAGUUCUACUGAAGCUGGCCCUGAAGCGCGC